rnacentral:lncRNA from 1 species
UUCCAGGUCUGGAGAAGGACAAGAUGCAGCCAGAGAAGGACUGUGGGUCACUGGGAGGAGGGCACAUUCCCAAAGGGGAGUUAGUAGCAAAUAGAGGGACAAAGAUGGCCAGAUCAGGCGUUUCUUGUGGGCUGGGGAGCAGAAGAAAGAGGCUCAUCCCUUGCUCUAGCUGGAUGACCUAAUAAGGCUUCUUCCAUCUUGCUUGCUUUGAGUCUGGCCUCCGAGAGGACUCCCUGUUCUCUCUGGCAGGCGCUGCAGAGCCCACAGUGUUUAGGAUUUCUGAGCGCCACUGAGUGUUCCAGCCAAAGACCCCAUGUGACUUUCCUCCAAGCACGGGCUCUUAGCAUGCUGAAGCUGGGAGGGAGCUUCGAGAUGAUGAGGACGCCAGGGCCUCCAUGAGGGGCUGCCCUGGUGAACACAGGCCCUGGUACUGAAUAAGCUCUUCCCGGUUCUAACUCGACUUUCAUGGUGUCAUUUUUGCGAGGUGCAUCUCUGAUCUGCCUCCAGUAAAUAAACGGCUGAAACAGAA